GAGUUUUCUAUUCUGGAUGCCAGGUAUCUUCGUUAGUAUUAAUUUGUCUGGCAUAAUCAUUUAAUUUUUUAUGGUACCACAAGGACUAAUGGAUGCUUUUUGUUCUGAAAAUGAACUUUGGACAUUCAUUCUUGUAGAUAUGCUUUUUCCUCACUAUUUUGUGUAUUUAGUAUUUACAAUAUUUUUGUACCUCUGGAUAUGAAAGGGAUAACUUAAAGGAAUACUUUGGGUAUUGCUAUGCCUUUCAUCACAAUUAUUUACAUAUCCGCUACCACUGUCACUACUGCUACUGCUCACGAUACUUUGCAUUGGUACUAUUGUAAUGACCACAAUCUAAUGUUGCCAAGAGCAGUGGGACUGCCAUCAAAUUAUUGUUGGGACUGCCAAGUGCCAACACCUUAUUACUAUGUUUGGCCACUGCUACUACCUCUCUGUAUGCUGCUGACACAGCCUCUUCCUGUCUUCAUUCAUUGCCAUCAGUAACUUGCUAACUUACAUCUCUACUAUCUUUUACAUUGACAUGACCUGUGCAACUACUGCAUUGAUGUUGCAGCCUUCAUCUUCUUUGUGGUUGCAAUUUGCAAACCAUCACAUUGAAUUGUUUAAAAAUGAAAUAUUUUUUCAUUGAUUCUUU
rnacentral:misc_RNA from 1 species